UACGUAGGCAGCAAGCGUUGUUCGGAGUUACUGGGCGUAAAGGGUGCGUAGGCGGCCCUGUAAGUAUGGUGUGAAAUCUCCCGGCUUAACUGGGAGGGUGCGCUAUAGACUGCGGGGCUCGAGUGUGGGAGAGGAAAGUGGAAUUCCUGGUGUAGCGGUGAAAUGCGUAGAUAUCAGGAGGAACACCGGUGGUGUAAACGGCUUUCUGGACCGAUAAACUG
rnacentral:rRNA from 1 species